AUGGCUCGACUUGUCCUUCACGCCCGAUCAGCCCCAACAGCUGCAGUUAAGAUUUUCUUCUUCAGUUUCCCCACAGCUCUCUUUUCACUGUGAUGUUGAGGAGAGGUCCAAAAAGAGAGGAGGAUUCACCGCCACGCAUUUAAUAUCUGCAGGUUUAUACGUAGAGACAAAGAGAGUGAGGGGGAGAUAGAGAGGGGGAGAGAGAGAGAGAGAGAGAGAGAGAGGAGCGCACAAUAUGCGGUGGAAUAUUUUUGGAUUCCCUCUCCCCUGUCUUAACCGUCAGUGCUUACAUGAAGAGGAUUUUGGUAAGCUCUUAUGAGAGAGGGAAAGAUAGAUGUGACUGUGACUGUAAUUUUCACUGAUUCACAGGUACAGGCGUUUGGCUGAAGAUCUUGGAAGAGACUAUUGCGCACUUUGCGUGAAAGAGUCAGCUCUUGGAAAUGGGUGCGGGAGGGUCACACAUUGUCUCUUCUGAAAUGGUUAAAACAAUUCGCAUGCAGCGGCCAGUCUCAAAUGACGACUUCUGACUGAAGCAUAAAGUCGUGGGAGCUGUGGCCAACUGCACAUGAAACAAGUGAAUCCGACAAGUCAUGAAGUUAUGCAGAUAACACCGCAUCUGAGAAAGAACGUGUUACCCAUCACCUCCGACUCAACCCAAUACAGCUUUGAAAAAGCACAGCCUGUGAGGCAGUUUGGGCACUUCCCUUUGGACAACAGCCCUGAGACCAAUAUAAAUCUGACAAUAACUGACUAAUUAACACAAUAGACAACAAUACAGUUUCUUCCGGAGUUUUACUGACUUUGUGAGUACUAAAUCCAACCAACAUCUCCUCUGCAGUAGCAUAGAGCCAGCAAGCUCCCUUCCCUUUCCAGCUAUGGCUCCCCCUAGCCGUGCUUCCAUAUUUCCUUGUUUAUGCACAGCAUAAUGGCCUGACCCUCCCUUCUCUAUAACAUUAUACAGACACCAUCUAGCACCUGAAAACCUAAAUUUUUCUAGAUAUAUUUUGAGAUUAGAGACUCUAUAUACCUCAUAUUCAUCCAAUGGCACCCUAACCAUAGUGGAACAGAGCUUUUCUUACCUUUACAAAGUGCUUCUCUCUAUACCUCUCUCUCUCCAAAGUCCCAACCUCGAUAGCCUCCUUCUUCUUCCCAGAAAUCCCUGCAAAAGGGGCACUUCCAUGUAAGUUGAAUGUGUAGGGGUGCUCAUUUUGGACUCAACCAUUACUGUAAAAUACAGAAGGCCCCAGAUGCUCAGUAAGGGCCUAUUUGGGUACAUAGUCCCACAGGCGCCAACAUGUCCCUUUCAAACGGUAUGACACUGGCCCUAUAGUAAAUAACCGUCCCCUAACUCCCUCUGUCCUCCCCCCCAAUGGCUUUCACAUCAUAUGGCCCAUCCACCAGUCAUACAGCCAAUGCUGAGAAGCAAUUGUAACUUGCUGCACAAAUGAGCUCUCAGAGAGUUUCCACUGGGUUUUUGUGGAUUCACCAAGCCUUGGGGCAUCUUAGAGCUGCCCAAAAUCAUUGCUAGGGGAUAUUUUGGACACACAAAGACCCCUUUUUAUUGAAACAGACCAUUUGAAUGCAGAGGAAAAUAUUAUGGUGUGAAUAUGAUGCAAUCAAGCAAAAAGAGAGCACUGUCUCCAAGUGUCCCUCUCCAAAAGUGCAGAGAUGUAUCCACUGGGACAAGGAGCUUUCCACUCACACAAUGAGAAGGUAAUUAAGAUCCUGAAGUUUAAAAUGUAAUUUUUAAGAAUGUUUUUCUUCAUAUAUUACUAAACAGAUUAUAAUUUUAAGGUGCAGCGGAUGACAAAUGCCAAUUUUGGGGUCCGCGCUUUGAAAGCAGGUAAGCUCACUAAUUGACAGGACACAUUGCAGUGCAUAAGGUAAGGACUUCAUUCUUGUUCAAAACUAUAUGUAUAUACUUAAAUAAAAUAUAUAUUUUUUAAAUAUUUUAAGAUGUAAUAUAUCAAUGGUGUAUCAUCUCAAACUAAAUUAUACAUAUUUACCAUAUAUCCUACAAUAUACACCUACCACUUUAUUAUAAUAUUUUAUUCAGCACUAGCCUAUACUAGCCUACAGUUGAGAGCAUGGUCCUGAAACAAGAUAACAUGCUAAUGUUUUUAAAAUAAACUUAUCAGAAAAUGAACAAAAGAUAGCCUAGCAGUUUAAGACUUGACUGAACCAAAUUUGAUAUAGCCUACCUGAAUAAGCAGCUAUAUAUCAGGAUCUGACAGUAGGCAUCAUCAAGACAUUAAAUUAAUAUGCUUUCAAAAUUGCCAAAGUAGAAGUGGUGUGAAAAACAAAUGCCAGUACUUGGUUUCCUGCGAGUCCAGACUUGAGAUGAUCUUUGCCCUAAAACAAUAAGCACCCAAACCAGUCGUCAACUGCCCAAAGCAACAGCAGAUCAAUCCAAACCUUCAGUAUCAAAAUACAACGUAAAACGUAGUCUUCAUUUUAAAACCUUGAAUAACAAACGCCUAAACACCUGCCCAGAACGAAUAUCGGCACUACAGCACAGAUAUGCUACUUAAAAUGAAUCAUGUAUUCGUAAACAAUGUUAGAUUAUAUUUAAUCGAAUAACAACGAGACACUAGGUACAUUCAGAAUCUGGAGACAGGCUUCAGCGCAGGAUUGGAGAUGUCAGCUGCUGGCGCGCGCCUGUCGCUUUUGUUCACGAGAACAGCCGCAGCUGUCUGACUAGAAUAGAGCACAUUUGUGAGCGGAAUAAGAACAAAUAACAAAAAUGAACUGGUAUUUAUCUGAACAGUAGCCAAUAGCCAUGGUGGUAGUAAGCUUCAUAUUUGAGUUGUCUGUCGGCGGUUUGAAUGCGUAAAUAUUUACAUGUAGGCCUACACAAACCUGGACGUUGCGAAAGAUGGACGCCCUUGUUGAUGGGGGUUUGUUUGCAGACAGGCAGACCAUUGCAUGGGCUACAAGGGAAAAGCUAACCUUACAUGGCAUAUGAUUUUCCAUUCCUUCUAGCUACCUAAAGUUGAAUUAUACAUAAGGGAUUAAUGCAAGGCUAAAUGUCGCCUUUCACUACAAGUCGUAACACAUAUAAAUAAAAUCAAUCAAUAUCUGCAGUGUAACAGUAUCGCAUUCCCAUAAUGAUAUGAGGCAGUGCAGAGCAGGCUAUGUGGCUACGCUAUGUUCUGCGUGCGUAAAACACGCGCCAACGUCACAACGCUUCUACAUAGGAACAGAGCAUAUGGAUGAAAUACAGUAAUACAGUAAUGAAUUAAUGCCUUCACUUUUGUUUCAUUAAUGUUCUUUAUAAUGUUGUAAUGUUUGAAUAUCUGUAUUAUUUAUCAGGGGUGUCAUGAACUCCAAAAAUCUGAGGGGGCACAAAGUAUGUGAGGAUGGCUUUGGGGUGGUCAGGAGGUGGGCUUGGCUCCUGUUCAUUCAUAUUCAUUAAACAUAUUUGUCUUGCUAUAGCCUUAAUCAUUACGCUUAAUUCUAUGUUAAACACUUUUCUUUUUCUGCAUAUCUAAGCAUACCUUUUGAGCUGUCUGUAUACUCCUGAUUAGUGGUUAUUCUUUAAAGAAACGAAACAUGCUUCUCUGCAUCUCUGCUAAAAUAUGGGUAAAAUAUUGAAAGGAAUGUGAGUCUUAUUCAGUACAUUUAGUUAUUGCUUGCUUUUCUAAAGUCUACCAAUCUUGCCAGCAGGUAUGCCAGCGAAGAUGAUAGUUAGACAAGCUAGCUACUCUAACUUGAUUGAUUGCCUCAACCUAUCUGGGAUAGCUAAAGCCAAUAUCAAAUUGCUAGGUGGCUAGUAGUUUUGAAUUGAAUUGUUUUAUUAAAUUCAGAUUGUGUGUCACUUAUGUACACAGAAUACCCCAUAAUGUCAAAGUGGAAUGUUAACAAAUUAAUUUAAAAAAUAAACUUGAGUCAAUAAAAGUAUGCAAUCUUUUUGUAAUGGCAAGCCUAAAUAAGUUGAGAGGUACAAAUGUGCUUAACAAGUCACAUAAUAAGUUGCCUGGACUCGCUCUGUAUACAAUGAUACUGUUUAACAUGACUACCCAAUCUCUGUACCUCACACAUACAAUUAUAUGUAAGGUCCCUAAGUCGAGCAGUGAAUUUCAAGCACAGAUUCAACUACAAAGACAAGGGGUGUUUUCUAUGUUUUGCAAAGAAGGGCACAUAUUGGAAGAAGGGUAAAAAAAAAGCAGACAUUGAGCAUUGUGCAGUUAUUAAUUGUACACAUUAGAUGGUGUAUCAAUACACCCAGUCACUACAAAGAUACAGGCAUCCUUCUUAAAUCAGUUGCCGGAGAGGAAGGACACCACUCUUGGAUUUCACCAUGAGGCCAAUGGUGACUUUAAAACAGUAAAAGAGUUUAAUGGCUGUGAUAGAAGAUAACUGAGGAUGGAUCAACAACAUCGUUACUCUGCAACAGUAACAUAAAUUACAGAGUGAAAAGAAGGAAGUCUGUACAGAAUAACAAAUAUUCCAAAACAUGCAUCCUGUUUGCACUAAAGUAAUACUGCAAAAAAUGUGGCAAAUACAUAAACUUUUUGUCCUGAAUUCAAAGUGUUAUGUUUGGGCAAAUCCAACACAUCACUGAGUACCACUCUUCAUAUUUUCAAGAAUGGUGGUAGCUGCAUCAUGUUAUGGGUUGGAAAGAACUAGGGAGGUUUUUUGGGGGGAUAAAAAGAAACGGAAUAGAGCUAAGCACAGGCAAAAUCCUUGAGAAAAACCUGGUUCAGUCUGCUUUCCAACAGACACUGGGAGACAAAUUAAAAUUUCUACAGGACAAUAAUCUAAAACACAUGGUCAAAUAUGUACUGGAGUUGCUUACCAAGAUGUCAUUGAAUGUUCCUGAGUGGCUUAGUUACAGUUUUGACUUAAAUCAUCAGCUUGAAAAUCUAUGGCAAGACUUGAAAAUCGCAGUCUAGCAGUGAUCAAUAACCAACUUGACAGAGCUUGACACAUUUUUUAAAGAAUAAUGGGCAAGUAUUGUACAAUCCAGUGCAAAUCUCUUAGAGGCUUUCCCAGAAAGACUCACAGCUGUAAUCCCUGCCCAAGGUGAUUCUAACAUGUAUUGACUCAGGGAGUUUAAUACUUAUCUAAUCAAGAUAUAUUAGUGUUUUAUUUUCCAUUAAUACAAAAUAUAUAUACUUUUUCUUCCACUGACAUAACAGGGUAUUUUGUGUAUAUCAUUGACCAAAAAAUGACAAUGAAAUCAAUUUGAAUCCCACUUUGUAACAAAACAAAAUGUGGAAAAAGUUCAGUGUGAAUACCAUCUGAAGGUACUGUAUAUACUGUAUAUAAUGUAAAUAUCUUUAAACAGGACAAAGGGGAGCAUGUUCCCCUGUGACCCAUUUGGGCAUGACACCUCUGCUAUUUAUGUUUGUGUUAUUGUUAUAAUAAACAAUGGGAAAAUAAAUACACCAGAGCAAUAUUCAGGUUAAGGUUAUUCUGUCUAUGAUAUGCCAUACAUGUUGAUGUUUCUAUGUUCAUUUUUAUGUUUUCUAUAAGCACUAGUGCUAGGCAACGGAAGAUGGAGCCUACAUGCAAUAGAUUAUUACAAAUUACAUACACUGGCGAUACUCUAUGCUGCUUUAGUGACGAUAUUCAAUGCAACAUUGUACAGAGAUUUUUUUUUGUCAAUAAAAUGUAAUAUUUCAAGA